ensembl:lncRNA
GGCGGGGGGACUUGAGUCAGGUCAUUUUUGCCAGGGGUCACCUGCGAGCAGCUCUCUCUCUGAGGCUCCCCAGUGAUCUGGCUGUGACUUGCUCAGAGCUGGAGUGUAGUCUGAGGCUCCCCUUACUCCACCCCACUCUGUUUCUCUCCCUCCCUUCCCAGGACUUGGGCAGAUGCUCUGAAGGUUCUCACCACCUACUCCUGUCUCCUCUUCCUGUUAUUCUUUGCAGGCGCUUCCCCCAGGAAGCUUCUCAGCCUUUUCAUUCUAUCCUGGCAUCUGUUUCUCACAGGACUCAAGCCAACAUAUGCAACUUAAACCUUGAGAGCUGAUCCAUGGAGUUGUGGGUGCAAAGUGAAGAUCAAGCAUAAACAAGACAUUACAAUGGAAUCCAAGGUAGCAACACUUAAAAUUACAGGAAACACUUGUUAAUUGGCAUGGGAAGAUGUUUGUGAUAAAGUAAAUCAAGAAAUUACAUUAGUAUAUGUGUGUGUGCUUAGUCACUCAGUUGUGUCCGACUCUUUGUGACCCCAUGGACUACACCCCUCCAGGCUCCUCUGUCCAUGGGAUUUUCCAGGCAAGAUACUGGAAUGGGUUGCCAUUCCCUUCUCCAGGAGAACUUCCCAACCCAGGAAUCGAGCCCAGGCCUCCUGCGUUCCAGGCAGAUUCUUUACCAUCUGACCCACCAGGGCUAGCUCGCUAGCAUAUAUAGUGUAAAUAGUAUAAAGUGUAUAUUCCAAAUUUGUCUUAUGAUAUUUAAAUAUAAAAAAAUUUUAGAAGACUCUACCUCAAAAAGUUGUUUGCUUUGCAGAAGUCUUUGUUUUUGUCUUUUUUGCACAUUUGCAUUUUCAAAUUUUCUCAUAGUAAAAACUGUUUCAGCCUGGAAGAGGAAUACCAGAGAAUUUUGGGAAAUUCACGCAGGUCUAAGAUUCCAUCGAGCCUCAGGGCUGCUCCAGGAAGGGCUCCAUGUCCCAAUGGCUCUGGCUGUGUGUAUUUAUUACAGCUCUUUCAUUCAUUCAACAACAAUUUAUUAAGUCCUACCCUUCGCUGGUUCUGUUAAGUUCUGAGGAUUCUAGGAUAUGGAAGACACCAACAGUGGCCUCUCGAUAUCCAUUCUCCUGUUAAGAAAAUGCUGAUUUUGUUCAGGGCAGCAGCCUGUCUGGUUACAAACCGCAUGUCCCAGCCCUCCUUGCAGCUGGGAGUGGGCUGGCUCAAACUGUGGGCUCCUUGGCUCUUCAUCCUCUCCCCUCUCUGGAAAGUAGAUGGGGUGCUGGAGAGGAAGAGCCACCUUGGGACCCUGACAUGAACAUGUGGGACAAGGAUUAUACCAAAGACAUUGGAACAAAAAGCUUGAAAGAAUCAGUCAUUGGCAGCGUCAUCAAAUCGCUGAGAAGGAUCUCUAGAUUUCUUGUUCUGUGAGAGAAACAAACUCCUAGUCUGUUUAAAGCACUGUUUGGGUGGUUUCUGUAACUUGCAACUUUACAGAAUCCUAAGCGGUGCAAACAGAAUGAGCCAUAAGCCCCGCCCUGUGUGUGGGCAGAGAGCAGACGACCAAAAGGCAACCAGGCAAACAGUGCCGUCAGCAGGGCAGAGGAGAAACAUACCUGGCUUUCUGGGUGUGUGUAUCAAGGACAACCCACAAGAACUGGGGGGUCAGAAAGGAUUUCCUAGAAGAUGCAACACUUGGGAUAAGUCAUGAAAGGUAAGUGGGGAUUUAGGGAGUGAAAAGGAGGGAGAGAGUGUGAAUGAAUGGUUCUGGGCAGAGGCUGUGUAGAAUGGCUGGAGCAUAGAAAGAGAGCAAUGAUGCAGGAGAUGAGGAAAUGAAGUUGCGCAGUGGUGUGCGACUCUUUGCCAUCCCGUGGACUGUAUUACUCCCAG